rnacentral:rRNA from 1 species
GAUGAACGCUGGCGGCGUGCCUAAUACAUGCAAGUCGAGCGAACAGACGAGGAGCUUGCUCCUCUGACGUUAGCGGCGGACGGGUGAGUAACACGUGGAUAACCUACCUAUAAGACUGGGAUAACUUCGGGAAACCGGAGCUAAUACCGGAUAAUAUAUUGAACCGCAUGGUUCAAUAGUGAAAGACGGUUUUGCUGUCACUUAUAGAUGGAUCCGCGCCGCAUUAGCUAGUUGGUAAGGUAACGGCUUACCAAGGCAACGAUGCGUAGCCGACCUGAGAGGGGGAUCGGCCACACUGGAACUGAGACACGGUCCAGACUCCUACGGGAGGCAGCAGUAGGGAAUCUUCCGCAAUGGGCGAAAGCCUGACGGAGCAACGCCGCGUGAGUGAUGAAGGUCUUCGGAUCGUAAAACGCUGUUAUUAGGGAAGAACAAAUGUGUAAGUAACUAUGCACGUCUUGACGGUACCGAAUCAGAAAGCCACGGCUAACUACGU